GUCCACGCCUAAACGAUGUCAACUGGUUGUUGGGUCUUCACUGACUCAGUAACGAAGCUAACGCGUGAAGUUGACCGCCUGGGAGUACGCCGCAAGGUUGAACUCAAGGAAUUGACGGGGACCCGCACAAGCGGUGGAUGAUGUGGUUUAAUUCGAUGCAACGCGAAAACCUUAACCCACCUUGACAUGUACGGAAGGCUGCAGAGAUGUGGCCGUGCUCGAAAGAGAGCCGUAACACAGGUGCUGCAUGGCUGUCGU
rnacentral:rRNA from 1 species